CCCCCCCCCCCCUCCCCUCAGUCAACAGGACACUCCAUCCUGCCCUUGACUCCACUCCCUCCUUCAGCGGUGCUCAGUGUCCUUGCUCUAUCUCCCCCAGUGCGACCUAGUUUGCACCAGCUGGCCUCCAGUUCCUAUCUGGGCUGCUUUUUACUAUCCCAGGCCUGAUGGCAGGAGCUUCAAGUGAUUACAAGCAACACGCCUUCUAUACGGUGUGCACCAGCUACAGUACCUGCCAACCAUGUGUAAACCUACCCUGCUUUUCUGUCAGCAAGACAGGAUUCUCUGACAUAGCAAAGGGAGCCAUGUGCGUUUCACUGACCUAAAGGUCAGGGCAUUAUUGAGACAGGGAGAGAUGUGUGUGGAGAACUGAAUGAAGGGCUGAUCUCCACAUGAAAUGUCAUCACAACGCCUGGUUCAGCCCCUCAAUGUCAGACAUUAAAGUUAAUGGAUCAAACACAUUGAGCCAAAACUCUCUAUGGGCAGGGUUCUGAUGGAUGGAUUAAUAUUUCAUAUGGAUUGCUGAAGAACACGUUUGAAUGUAACAUAAACUGAAUAAGUGUUACUCACAUUUCUUCUUCUAAAUAAUCUAUUUUUCUGAAUUGUAAAUUAUAUUAGGCCAACACACUGAUUAUUCGGUUAUAUCAAAUUGUAGCUUGCAUGUUGACUUCACAAGAAUAGCUAGCUAGCUAAUUAAGUAGCUAAUACUUUGUAUGAUGCCACGAUGUUUCAUGAAAUGUCAUGCCAAUGCUAAAUCUGCCAGCUAGCUAGCAAACAAGCUUCAGAGCAUACCCAUCUUACAGACUCAUAAAUCAAUCAACAACAUCUUUAUAGGCUACAGUGCCUGAACCAACCUGAUUUUAAAAUGCUGCUGGCUAGCUAGGAGAGGACAACAUAUAGCUUUAUCAAAGCAGUCAUUUUGACUUUGAGGUAAUGCGGGUUCGAUUGAGCCCCUAGCUACAUGUGCAUCCUCCAGACAUAACAUUUGCUGUAGGACCAUCCUCAGAUUUUGUCAGAUAAGCUCUGAGAUUGAAUUUACAUUGAGGGAAACAGCUGCUUCACAUUUCUAAUGCCUGGAACAAUGUAAAGAUAGUAUGCUUGGACAGGUUUGGGCAAAAAUGGAGGUCAUUCUUUUGGGGGAGAUGUCAGUCAUCUCUGUCAGCCUCUAGAAAUAAACAGUAAAAUGACAUUGGCCUUCUUUGGGUCCUGCUGUAUUUUCACUUUCCUAUUUGUCUGGUUCAAAACAAGUGCACUUUUGAAAUUGUUCUCACCCUGUUUUUAUUUUACCGUAGGAUAAUCAUAUUUUAUCACACAAUAACUAUGACAUAGUUAUUAUACAGUAAUAUCCACCUGUCACUGAUGCAAUGGUAUCCUGUAGCACACUAGGUGGCUAUGCUUUGAGCUAUAGUCAGUUAGAUCACAGCCAAAAGAAGGGCGACACAAUUCACCCCUUGACCCUCUACCCUGCAGCUGCACUAUCGAUCUAUAGCUGAAGUACUCUACUGUGUUUUUGUCACCCAUUCACCCAGCCAUGUGUAAUCGAUCAUAUGUCUGAAAAAACACUUCAAGGUCCAAAUAUUAUCACCUUGGUCAGCUGGACCACGUGCACUCCCUUUUAUAUUUAAAUACAGUAAAAGCAUAAGAGGAAUGGGUUUGGAAAGAAACCAUUACUACUGGACAAUUCAGGGGCAUCCCCAACUUACAGAGAAAGAGUAAGAGGUGGAGUAAUUAUCACACCAUGUCUAAGUCUGGCCUGGCCUCCCAAAGACCCCUUGCCCCUGUGCUCUACAAUGUUCUAGUCUGGCCUAGCCAUAUGGGUGAAUCCAAAGCCAAUUCCAUCUUCUGAAUUUAGUUCAAAUGUAAUGUUUUAAAUUUGUAUUUGAAGGUAUACAUUUUAGUAACAUCAAGUACUCCAAUCAAAAGCAUACAAACAACAUUGUGCGGUAACGGUAGCCCACUAGAAUAAAUAGUUUUAGGCCUCCAUAAAGAUGUUUACAAACUUCUAGGAGAGAAAGUGUAAAAACUUCUAGGAGAAUUAUUAACUAUUUUAAACACAAUUGUUUUUAGCAUGUGGCGUUUUUAUGUACACUAAACAGUUAAAAUACAUAUUUAUGUGUAUUUAUAUUUGGUAUUUAUUAAUACCAUAGUAUAGCUUUGUCUAGGCACUCAACUUAAGGGCUUUCUCUUUUUCUGGAUGUCAUGUGUGGCUUUAAACAAAACUUGCAGCCAUAUGUUUUCCCCUCUUGUGAAUGGGUGUGGCAGGGUUAUUCUGUUAAUAGUUAUCGGUCCUCAAGUCCUUGACCUCCUCGAAUUGUAAACACGUUUUUUACACCACUCUCAGCACUCUGCGAUGGAGGGAGUUUUGUCAACAGUGGGGCCCAAAGAUAAGCAUGCAGGCUGAACCUGUUCCGGCCUGCAGUGCCCUCUGCAGCACCUCAGCACCAAGCUCAGUCAAAUCUCUCCCAGAACAGCCAGAUCACAUGGGUUAAUCUCCUCUUACCCUGACUCUUCAAGAGCACAAGCCCUGCACUUUUGGACUCAGGCCCAGUGCACUCUAUGCAAGUGCAUCCAAUGCCAUGGAGGUAGAGCCCACACACAUCCCUGACUGCUUACUGGCACCAGUUAGCAAACUACAGAAAGAGGAGGUAAAAGAAGAGAAUGUCAGAAUGUCCAACACCAGCGAGCGGUGUGGCAAACAAACAUUUGCAGACAGCUGAUUGAAUCCUCUGCUUUUUAAGGACCUCCAAUUCAAAUGUGUUUAAAUCUUGUUUUCAGCUAUUAAAAAAUAUAUAUUUAAUUGUUUUUACACUCAGUAAGGAGAACAAUACCCACACACUGUUUAAAUGGUGCCAAAAUUAUAUGAAACUUACAUUGAUUCAUUUUUCCUCAAAUCAUUUUUUUUAAUAAGGAAGUGUGUAGGAGUAUAUCUAUUUUAUAAUAUGUUUUAGUAAAAAUAUAAUCAUAGCCGUUUUUGUAAAUGUACUCAUAAUUUGCAAAUAAUUAUUCAACAUAAACAAACACUUUACUGGUGCUCUAGUCCUACUUUUUGUUGCAUGUCACCAACUCCUCUAGUCUAAGCCAUACAUUUUAGAUUUAAAAUCUACAGUUUCAUAAUAGGGCCUUCAUUUUGUAAACGGUUUGUGCAGUGUAAAACCUGAUGUGUCGGAAACAGAGAUUGCAUAGAUAGUGUGGGUUUAUAAGGUCAAAUUGUUCAAAAGCAGUUUUUCAAGUCCCCUGCUUAGACAAGUUUAUCUCAUGCUAUAAAUUCCCUCCUCUGUUUAAAGACGUCACAGGAAUACCUUGUAUGUGACAGACCUAUCAACGUUUUAGAUAGAUUUGGGAGGGAACAGUGACAUUUAUAUAUGCAUUGGAAUUAAAAGGAAAUAGAGGAGCAUCUCCAUUGGGAGACGAGGCCUCUGAUGUCCCUCCCAGGUACUUUGAUCCCUCUUGUGUAGUGAAGCAAAAACCCAAUCAUUCCUAAA
rnacentral:lncRNA from 13 species